rnacentral:rRNA from 1 species
UCUGGUUGAUUCUGCCAGUAGUCAUAUGCUUGUCUCAAAGAUUAAGCCAUGCAUGUCUAAGUAUAAGCACUUUAUACUGUGAAACUGCGAAUGGCUCAUUAAAUCAGUUAUCGUUUAUUUGAUAGUACCUUACUACAUGGAUACCUGUGGUAAUUCUAGAGCUAAUACAUGCUGAAAACCUCGACUUCGGAAGGGGUGUAUUUAUUAGAUAAAAAACCAAUGCCCUUCGGGGCUCCUUGGUGAAUCAUAAUAACUUAACGAAUCGCAUGGCCUUGCGCCGGCGAUGGUUCAUUCAAAUUUCUGCCCUAUCAACUUUCGAUGGUAGGAUAGUGGCCUACCAUGGUGGCAACGGGUAACGGGGAAUUAGGGUUCGAUUCCGGAGAGGGAGCCUGAGAAACGGCUACCACAUCCAAGGAAGGCAGCAGGCGCGCAAAUUACCCAAUCCCGACACGGGGAGGUAGUGACAAUAAAUACUGAUACGGGGCUCUUUUGGGUCUCGUAAUUGGAAUGAGUACAAUCUAAAUCCCUUAACGAGGAACAAUUGGAGGGCAAGUCUGGUGCCAGCAGCCGCGGUAAUUCCAGCUCCAAUAGCGUAUAUUAAAGUUGUUGCAGUUAAAAAGCUCGUAGUUGAACCUUGGGUCUGGCUGGCCGGUCCGCCUCACCGCGAGUACUGGUCCGGCUGGACCUUUCCUUCUGGGGAAUCUCAUGGCCUUCACUGGCUGUGGGGGGAACCAGGACUUUUACUGUGAAAAAAUUAGAGUGUUCAAAGCAGGCCUUUGCUCGAAUACAUUAGCAUGGAAUAAUAGAAUAGGACGUGCGGUUCUAUUUUGUUGGUUUCUAGGACCGCCGUAAUGAUUAAUAGGGAUAGUCGGGGGCGUCAGUAUUCAGCUGUCAGAGGUGAAAUUCUUGGAUUUGCUGAAGACUAACUACUGCGAAAGCAUUCGCCAAGGAUGUUUUCAUUAAUCAGGGAACGAAAGUUAGGGGAUCGAAGACGAUCAGAUACCGUCGUAGUCUUAACCAUAAACUAUGCCGACUAGGGAUCG